rnacentral:lncRNA from 1 species
AUCGGGCUGGUGGAGACCCUGCUGGAGUGGGCCAUAUCAGCACGGCCAUGUCCUCUCCAAGUCAAGAACCCUGCAAACAUGGGCGCAUUUCCAUUUGGGCCAUAAACCUUUAUUGGGAAAAGUGAACCUAGAGCUUCUGCUGCUUUGUUUCAUGGGUGUGAGCCUGUGGUUCUUACUGAUGCUUCUACUGAGAAUGGUCCUGGAUUUCACCUGGAGAGCGCCCUAAAGCUUGACAGAAAGAACGGAUUUAGAGAUCAGUAUUUUUUCCAGAAAGAUGUGCCCAGUAGUAUCAGGAGAGAAUCUGUGGGCUGAUUCUUACAAAUCGCCCUCCAGGUUCCCUUUCUGGGGACUGAUGCUAUUAUUAAUCAAAUUCCAUCAACAAAACCAAAGUCCGCGCUUCUGAACCGAAUCUGAAAUUACGGUCCAGGCUAAAGCAGAAAGUGGCCGAAAGACGGAGCAGCCCCCUGUUACGCAGGAAAGACGGGCCAGUGGUCACUGCUCUAAAAAAGCGUCCGUUGGAUGUCACAGACUCCGCGUGCAGCAGCGCCCCAGGCUCCGGACCCAGCUCACCCAACAACAGCUCCGGGAGCGUCAGCGCGGAGAACGGUAUCGCGCCCGCCGUCCCCAGCAUCCCGGCGGAGACGAGUUUGGCGCACAGACUUGUGGCACGAGAAGGCUCGGCCGCUCCACUUCCCCUCUACACAUCGCCAUCCUUGCCCAACAUCACGCUGGGCCUGCCUGCCACCGGCCCCUCUGCGGGCACGGCGGGCCAGCAGGACGCCGAGAGACUCACCCUUCCCGCCCUCCAGCAGAGGCUCUCCCUUUUCCCCGGCACCCACCUCACUCCCUACCUGAGCACCUCGCCCUUGGAGCGGGACGGAGGGGCAGCGCACAGCCCUCUUCUGCAGCACAUGGUCUUACUGGAGCAGCCGCCGGCACAAGCACCCCUCGUCACAGACUGGUAUCUUUCAGGCCUGGGAGCACUGCCCCUCCACGCACAGUCCUUGGUUGGUGCAGAC